AGGAAGGAUUGCAAGCUAGGGUUUGAAGAGGGAGAAGAAGAAAACUUGAUUUUUCUUACAUUCUUUCCUUAAAUCCUUAUCAAAGUGAAAGGAGGGCGCAGGACUUAAUCAGCAACAAGGGACCUCUUCACGCGUACAGACACCAAGUACAUCGCACCCUCGAUCUGGAAAGUAGAUGCUUGGAUAAAUGAUUUUGUUAUGUGAUUAAUGUAAUUGAAAGAACUAAUAUUUUGUUGUAAUAUACUUCCAUAUCUAAAAUUGU